GAUGAACGCUGGCGGCGUGCCUAAUACAUGCAAGUCGAGCGAACAGACGAGGAGCUUGCUCCUCUGAUGUUAGCGGCGGACGGGUGAGUAACACGUGGAUAACCUACCUAUAAGACUGGGAUAACUUCGGGAAACCGGAGCUAAUACCGGAUAACAUGUUGAACCGCAUGGUUCAACAGUGAAAGACGGUCUUGCUGUCACUUACAGAUGGAUCCGCGCCGCAUUAGCUAGUUGGUAAGGUAACGGCUUACCAAGGCAACGAUGCGUAGCCGACCUGAGAGGGUGAUCGGCCACACUGGAACUGAGACACGGUCCAGACUCCUACGGGAGGCAGCAGUAGGGAAUCUUCCGCAAUGGGCGAAAGCCUGACGGAGCAACGCCGCGUGAGUGAAGAAGGUCUUCGGAUCGUAAAACUCUGUUAUUAGGGAAGAACAAAUGUGUAAGUAACUAUGCACGUCUUGACGGUACCUAAUCAGAAAGCCACGGCUAACUACGUG
rnacentral:rRNA from 1 species